CUCCAUCGCCGCCGAUGUCGGCCGCCGCGUCUCCUCCUCCUCUGACGGCGCCGUCGAAACCCGCGGCCUCGUCGCCUGCGGCACCGGCGUCGGAGUCGCCAUCUUCGCCAACAAGUUCCCGGGCGUGUUCGCCGCCACGUGUCUCAACCCCUCCGAAGCCCAAAACGCUCGCUCCAUCAACAACUCCAACGUCCUCGCCGUCUCCGGCAUGUCCACGGCACCGGACUCCGCCAUCGAGAUCCUCGACACCUGGCUCAACACCCCUUUCAAAUCCCCCUGUCCCGCCUCCGACUCCAAGCCCUGGCCUCCAGAAAUCGAGACUUUUCUCGACAAUUCGAUUAAAGAAAUGCCCAAAAUUGGAGCUGAAGAAGAAAAGCAAGCAGCUUUGGGUUCGGAGGAGGCUUCUUGUACUCUGUGUUGUUUGGUGAAGAAU
rnacentral:lncRNA from 1 species